UGUCAUACCUCGCGUUACUGUUUGCAAGGUGUCUAGUCUGACGUUUGUGUUAUUGUAUCUAAACCGAGCUGUAAUAAUGCUGGGGGAUGAGGUCCAAGCUAAUAAUCUGGUGUACAAUCAAUUACAGGAUUUAAUUCAGACCCAACAACGUGUUCUAGUCACAAUCAGGGAGACGAUGAUCACCAAAGAACGGGAAUUGAUGCCAAAAGAACAAUAUGAAGAGGUUGUAAAUGACCUUGAGAAUGAGAGACUCCAGCAUGCUAAAACUCAAGCACUCCUCAACCAGGAAUCUGAAAAGCUGCAGUUUGCCCUUGGAGAAAUAGACAUCCUCACAAACCAGAUGCAAAGAGAAAAGAAGUCUUUUGAAAAAGUGCUUGCCAGUAUUAAAAAUAAAGCAUUGAAGGAAUCUACAAAAAAUGACAAACUGAAAAGCAAAUGCAACGUCCUCUUUCAGAAAUGGAGUUCACAGUUCAAAAGCAUGAGGAUAUUUUAAUUGAGAAAGAGAACCAAAUCAAGCAGCUUCACAUCCAACUCGCAAAGCACAAAACAACCUUGAAACUCCAGCUGACUGAUGUUGAGAUCCAGAGGAAGCAGGAAGCUUACAUUGCAGAAGCGCUUCAGAAGAAGCAGAGAACAGCAGGGCACUGGACCAGCGGCUCCUCUUCAUAUGACACGGCUGUAUAAUAGCUAGAAACAUUACUGUCCAGACGUCUUGUACACAGACUGGAGCUCCUUCUGUUUCCCUUUAUAGGGUAUCAACAAAGCCUUUCAAACGUGCAGCAGAAUGUGUGAACCAGUCAUGUAACAGGAGAGUAAAGGAAAAACAAAAUCUACAGCAAAAAUAAAGACUUACGUGAAAGUUAUGAAAAUUAGAGGUACGUAUAUUUUUUAAAGCCUUGCUCAUUACAUGUUUAAGGCAAACUUGUAUUGAUUUAAACUUGAAAAAGUAUAAUUGUAAAACAGGUUUUGAUCCCUCUCCAUCAAAAUCUGGACAAUGGUACAGCAUUUUCACUUUGUCCUUUAACAACGUACUUACUUGUAAGAGAUCCCAGUGAUUCAGCAAAGACAACAUGACUAGGUAACCCAUUCCAUACCCUUCCCUCUGUCCUAAGUCUAUCUCCACUAGAUUGGCACUGGUUUCCUUAUAACCACUUGUAUUUGAUUGUACAGAUGUUUAUGUUUGAUUGUAUAUAGUGUAAAGAGUCAUGCCAAACAUGACAUCACUCCUCCUGUCCAGUAAGCAUUGGGAGGAUUGCUGUAGCCAGUAGAAACUGGAGACAUGGGGAGAUGAGAUUCAGUCAAAAUGAAAAGAAAAUGUGGAAAACAAAAACCAAGAGCAAUGCAAUGAGGGCCUUGUUAAAAUGCUGCUCCACUACGUGGAGGGAAGACAUGCAUGGGUUAUUCCAGCUCGAAAGGUAAUCAAUCCCCUAAUAGUAUCAUUUACACUCACUGCAAAUAGCAGCUUCAAAAAUAACCCCAUUUGAUACACAUCAAGCACCAUGAUUAUGUAGUUCAAAAAUGAAUACCUUACACCCCAAUCUUACACACAUUUUAAACAUUGGACCUUUAUUUCUUAGUCAUUGUUUUUGUAUUGUGCAAACCUGCUGUCAUACUAAUCAUGUCCUAUAUUAAGAGACUCGUGAUGUAACAUCUUUCACUGUCUUAAUGUCAUUAGAGGUGAAAGAAAAACCUUUCAAGUGUAUCAGAAAUGAAUGAAUAAAUGAUUCAAUGUUUUUUUUUCUUUUUUCUUGUUUGUGUUGCAUGCUGCUGCCAAUGUAUCCUGUCUUGUAUUUUUUUUUUAUCUAAGAAAAGAGAAAUAGAAGAUACAGCACACACAGUACUGAGUAAUAACUACUGAUACACAUACAGGAUGUGUAUAUGGAAUAGAAGAUACAACACACAGUCAUUGAGUACUGUGAGACUAACUACUGAUACACAUACAGGAUGUUUGUAUUUAGAAGUUUUUACUUCACAUUUGAAUUGAUGGAUACUUUCACCUUCAUUGCUGUGCUGUCUGGUGUUUAAUCCUUUCAGAGCGGUCGUGAUGGAUACUUUCACCUUCAUUGCUGUGCUGUCUGGUGUUUAUCCUUUCAGAGCAGUUGUGAUGGAUACUUUCACCUUCAUUGCUGUGCUGUCUGGUGUUUAAUCCUUUCAGAGCAGUUGUGAUGGAUACUUUCACCUUCAUUGCUGUGCUGUCUGGUGUUUAAUCCUUUCAGAGCAGUUGUGAUGGAUACUUUCACCUUCAUUGCUGUGCUGUCUGGUGUUUAAUCCUUUCAGAGCGGUCGUGAUGGAUACUUUCACCUUCAUUGCUCUGCUGUCUGGUGUUUAUACUUUCAGAGCGGUCGUGGUUGGUAACAGGGCCUGGUUAUGAUGGAACAUGGCACCUGAAACUGCAGUUUAAGCAAUUGUGCAAAUCCAAUACAAACUGCAUGCCCUUGCAGUGGUAGUUCCUAGUAAAUAUUCCAGUACAUUUUCAUCAGAACGAAUGCAACAGCAAACAACCUUUAUUCGGACAUACCUAAAGCAGUUUUCAGUGACACACUGCUCUGAUUAAACUAAUAAAUGUAGUAACCUGUCAAGCUAUUUGUAAGGCAGUGAUGCACUGCAGUGAGAAGACUAGUGCUAGUAUCACAGUAUGAAGAAGGGCUAUGAACUAUACCUAUUGAAACAGCAAACAUACUGUACACCCCCCACUAUGGCUGUGAAUUCAGAAUUAGAGCUGUCAGAAUGAUGAAAAGAAAACGUAUGUACAGAAUAGAAAGAAUAAGAACUGGCAAUGAAGAGGUUAAUACAAUUUGAUGUGUCAUUUUAGAUGUCAUGUGGUAAGCAAAUGAUGUGUUAGUAUCAUGGGGAAGUAUAUUAAAAUGACUGAUUUACAAUGUGGAAUAACUUGUUGUAUUAAAGAUACAUUUAAACAUGGAAGUGUGACAGAUGGGUGUAAAGACAGAGAUUCCUGCACAUAUCCCCUCAUUCUGAGCCUCCCAAUAACUUCUGCUAAAUAAUGGUAACAGCAAGUUUCAGCACAAUUUAAUAAGCGGUUCUCCAGACAUGCAAACAUAUAAGUGUGACGUACAGAUGGAGAAAUGCAGGGACAGACAGACCCCACAUAUCCUCUGAAUCUAAAGCCCUGCCAUAAAUAUACUAUUUAUGUUUAGAAUGGGGUACCCCUCCGGCCCUGUGAAAUUUAUUACUUUGUAUUUGUUUUGUUGUAUUAUUGUUGUUGUUGUUGUUGUUGUUGUUGUUGUUAUGAUUUAUUAUGUUUAAAUAUGACGGUGAAAAGCCGUAGUUGUUAUUGUUUGGCAAGGAUGAGUGAGGUGCUGUCCGCCAUGAUGUAUUGUUUUUGUUUUGAAAUGCCGGAGGAGCAAGAGAGAGGAGGGUAAAAAUCAAAGAUAAUAAAUAAAUAAAUAAAUAAAUAAAUAAAUAAAGGCUGCUGCCCAGCCUGAUCAUAUUAUUUUGUGUUCGUGAUUUAGUUUUGUUUACAUCUUUUGUUUCGCUCUGUGAGCGAGUGUUUUUGUUUAAAUAUUUUUAUUUGUUCUUGUUAUUUAAAUAAACGGCGCACU